ACUCCUACGGGAGGCAGCAGUAGGGAAUCUUCCACAAUGGGCGCAAGCCUGAUGGAGCAACACCGCGUGAGCGAAGAAGGGUUUCGGCUCGUAAAGCUCUGUUGUUAAAGAAGAACACGUAUGAGAGUAACUGUUCAUACGUUGACGGUAUUUAACCAGAAAGUCACGGCUAACUACGUGCCAGCAGCCGCGGUAAUACGUAGGUGGCAAGCGUUAUCCGGAUUUAUUGGGCGUAAAGAGAGUGCAGGCGGUUUUCUAAGUCUGAUGUGAAAGCCUUCGGCUUAACCGGAGAAGUGCAUCGGAAACUGGAUAACUUGAGUGCAGAAGAGGGUAGUGGAACUCCAUGUGUAGCGGUGGAAUGCGUAGAUAUAUGGAAGAACACCAGUGGCGAAGGCGGCUACCUGGUCUGCAACUGACGCUGAGACUCGAAAGCAUGGGUAGCGAACAGGAUUAGAUACCCUGGUAGGAAACCG
rnacentral:rRNA from 1 species